rnacentral:rRNA from 1 species
UACGUAGGUGGCAAGCGUUGUCCGGAUUUACUGGGCGUAAAGAGCGCGCAGGCGGUCGAUUAAGUCGAAUGUGAAAGCCCCCGGCUCAACUGGGGAGGGUCAUUCGAUACUGAUCGACUUGAAGGCAGGAGAGAGAAGUGGAAUUCCCGGUGUAGUGGUGAAAUGCGUAGAUAUCGGGAGGAACACCAGUGGCGAAGGCGACUUCCUGGCCUGUUCUUGACGCUGAGGCGCGAAAGCUAGGGGAGCAAACGGG